UUUCCGUAGGUGAACCUGCGGAAGGAUCAUUAGAGAUUGGCCUCUGUGCCAUUGUCCACACACACACACACCGUGAACCGUACCGGGAGCUCCUCCGGGGGCGACCGAACCAUCAAACACAAUAUGUAAAGAACGUCAGUUGUCAUAACAAAACAAAACUUUCAACAACGGAUCUCUUGGCUCUCGCAUCGAUGAAGAACGCAGC
rnacentral:misc_RNA from 1 species